rnacentral:rRNA from 1 species
CAGGCGCGAAAACUUUACAAUGCAGGCAACUGCGAUAGGGGAACAUCGAGUGGCACCCACCAUGGGUGUCUGUCCAAUCGUCUAAAAAACGAUUGUUAGCAAGGGCCGGGUAAGACCGGUGCCAGCCGCCGCGGUAAUACCGGCGGCUCGAGUGGUGGCCGAUAUUAUUGAGUCUAAAGGGUCCGUAGCCGGCUUUGCAAGUCCCCUGGGAAAUCCAGCGGCUUAACCGUUGGGCUUUCAUGGGAAACUACAUUGCUUGGGACUGGGAGAGGUAGGAGGUACUCAGGGGGUAGGGGUGAAAUCCUGUAAUCCUUUGGGGACCACCGGUGGCGAAGGCGUCCUACCAGAACAGGUCCGACGGUGAGGGACGAAAGCUAGGGGCACGAACCRGAUUAGAUACCCGGGUAGUCCUAGCCGUAAACGAUGCUCGCUAGGUGUCACGGCAGUCGUGAAUUGUCGUGGUGCCGUAGGGAAGCCGUGAAGCGAGCCACUUGGGAAGUACGACCGCAAGGUUGAAACUUAAAGGAAUUGGCGGGGGAGCACCACAACGGG